CACUCCCCCUCCCCCAUUCAUUUACCCUAACUCAAAUCAAAAACAAGCAAAGGCGAAAAUUUGUGCAAACACACUUCCAAGGCUGCAUCAAGGCUCCAAUCACAUUGCUAUACAACAUUCAAAAGCCCACAAAUCACUCAAUUUGAACAUGUCAGGCAACCAACCAGCACGCAUCAGACAGGGUAGGGAGACCCAGACUGCGUCAGCUACACAGGGAAUGGGUGGCGCUAAGGGAAAAAAGGAGGUGAAGGAGAAGAAGAAGGUUUCGACCGGCUCUACUUCGUGCUCUCGCGGAGUGAAGGAGGUGAAGGAGAAG